rnacentral:tRNA from 1 species
GCCUGGCUAGCUCAGUCGGUAGAGCAUGAGGCUCUUAAUCUCAGGGUCGUGGGUUCAAGCCUCACGUUGGGCG